UCCUACGGGAGGCAGCAGUGAGGAAUAUUGGACAAUGGGUGGAAGCCUGAUCCAGCCAUCCCGCGUGAAGGACGACUGCCCUAUGGGUUGUAAACUUCUUUUAUAUAGGGAUAAACCUACCCUCGUGAGGGUAGCUGAAGGUACUAUAUGAAUAAGCACCGGCUAACUCCGUGCCAGCAGCCGCGGUAAU
rnacentral:rRNA from 1 species